rnacentral:tRNA from 1 species
GGGCCUAUAGCUCAGCUGGUUAGAGCGCACGCCUGAUAAGCGUGAGGUCGAUGGUUCGAGUCCCAUUUAGGCCCA